UGGAAGCAUAGCUCAGCUGGGAUGAGCGUUCGCCUCACACGCGAGAGGUCAUGGGUUCGAGCCCCAUUGCUUCCAUCC
rnacentral:tRNA from 1 species